CGUAGGGGGCAAGCGUUGUCCGGAUUUAUUGGGCGUAAAGAGCGUGUAGGCGGCCUGACAGGUCUGCUGUGAAAACUCGAGGCUCAACCUCGAGAUGUCGGCGGAAACCGUCUGGCUAGAGUCCGGAAGAGGAGAGUGGAAUUCCUGGUGUAGCGGUGAAAUGCGCAGAUAUCAGGAAGAACACCUAUGGCGAAGGCAGCUCUCUGGGACGGUACUGACGCUGAGACGCGAAAGCGUGGGGAGCGAACAGGAUUAGAUACCCUGGUAGUCCACGCCGUAAACGAUGGGUGCUAGGUGUGGGCGGUGUCGACUCCGUCCGUGCCGAAGCUAACGCAUUAAGCACCCCGCCUGGGGAGUACGGCCGCAAGGCUA
rnacentral:rRNA from 1 species